rnacentral:lncRNA from 1 species
UAUUGGCAUAGUUGUGGUGUACAAGUUAGUGUUAGGGCGUGUUGUUACUCUGAGCUGGUACCCCGUUACCCUUUGGGGUCGCUAGGGCUGACAGACCCCUAGCUUACACUCAUUUUGUACACCCUCAAAACGCCAAUACAUAGGGUCAAAAAUAUAUAAUUUACAACUGGGGUAUAUACCCUCUUGGGGAGUAUAUACAUAGGGAGAUAUUUGAUUCCUGAUCCCUGAUCAGUAGUAAUAUAUAUUUAUAAAUGUGUAUUUAAUUGUAUUUGUAAUUAUUUCAGUUAUUAUUGAAUGAGGCAAUGGUGGAAAGAUGAGGCAUCGCAUGAAAUGAGGCGACUGGUGAGUUUGGAAUGUGGAGGAGACCCCCCCCCCCCCUUUGUGAUGGGAGCAGUGGUGGACGGAUGAUUCGAGUCAGUGGGGGAGCAGAAGGUGGUGGCAGAUGUCCUGGUUGAGCUACAUGUGGUACUUAAACUCGUACCUCCAUAUCUGCUAAUUCAAGGUGAGCGUGUGGAGAGGUUGUGGCAGGGCGGAACAGAACGAUGACGUAUCUAUUUGUGGACCAAUAGGCAUGGGUGGAGAGGACGAGCAACGCCACAGUCCAGAGUAAUGGAAGAGGCCGUGACCUUGAGGCGAGUGAGAGGCUUGAGUACCUUAGACGUGGAUAACCUCGUGUAGGUACUGAGACGUGGAAGUGAUAACCAUAGAAAUAAUUAAGUAGUGUAGCACUUCAAAUUGUUUGGAUGUGUGAUAAUGAUAUGAUAGACAGAAUACUUAGGAACUACAAGAAUUUCGCCCCAAUGAUUGCAGAUGAAUACAGCUCGUGGGGUGGGCGACGAGGCUCUCCAGUCGGACUGUGUUGGAA